rnacentral:rRNA from 1 species
UAGGGAAUAUUGGUAAUGUGCGAAAGCGCGAACCAGCAACGCCGCGUGCACGAUGAAGGCCUUCGGGUUGUAAAGUGCUUUUAGAGAGGAUGAGGAAGGACAGUACUUUCUGAAUAAGCCUCGGCUAACUACGUGCCAGCAGCCGCGGUAAAACGUAGGAGGCUAGCGUUAUCCGGAUUUACUGGGCGUAAAGCGCGUGCAGGUGGUUUCGUAAGUUGGAUGUGAAAGCUCCUGGCUUAACUGGGAGAGGUCGUUCAAAACUGCGAGGCUUGAGAGUGGUAGAGGGAGGUGGAAUUCCGGGUGUAGUGGUGAAAUGCGUAGAUAUCCGGAGGAACACCAGUGGCGAAAGCGGCCUCCUGGACCAUUUCUGACACUCAGACGCGAAAGCUAAGGUAGCAAACGGGAUUAGAGACCCCGGUAGUCUUAGCUGUAAACGAUGUGAACUUGGCGUCGGUGGGUUUAAAUCCAUCGGUGCCGAAGCCAACGCGAUAAGUUCACCGCCUGGGGACUACGGCCGCAAGGUUA